rnacentral:rRNA from 1 species
GUGUCAGCAGCCGCGGUAAUACGAAGGGGGCUAGCGUUGUUCGGAAUUACUGGGCGUAAAGCGCGCGCAGGCGGCCUUUCAAGUCAGGGGUGAAAGCCCGGAGCUCAACUCCGGAAUUGCCUCUGAGACUGACAGGCUUGAGUACGGGAGAGGUGAGUGGAAUUCCGAGUGUAGAGGUGAAAUUCGUAGAUAUUCGGAAGAACACCGGUGGCGAAGGCGGCUCACUGGCCCGUUACUGACGCUCAGGCGCGACAGCGUGGGGAUCAAACAGGAUUAGAAACCCCUGUAGUCC